rnacentral:tRNA from 5 species
GCGGGUAUAGUUAAAUGGUAUAACCUCAGCCUUCCAAGCUGAUGUUGUCGGUUCGAUCCCGUCUACCCGCUCCA